CACUGUUAACCGCCAGGCACCCACCCUCAUAUUGCAUCCCGCUGGGCAGGAGUGGGAGAGAUUAAGGGAUGAGGAUGACUCCACCUCUGGGAGCAUCACCCAGAGGAACCGCCCUACCCCCAUCAAUGUCUCCACCGCCAAGUCCAGGAGAAGAGAGGCCCCAUUCUGCACACAUCAUGAACACAAAUCAGGUUGAGCUCCACGGGGACAGGGACCUUAUCUACUCACUGCCCUCAGAUUCUGGGACAGAAAGUGAUGCUCAGAAACUAUGUGUGGGAUGCAUGAGUGAGUGACCCCAUUUUGCAGCAGAAAAGACUGUGGUGUAGGGUAGAGAAGGGACUUUUACAAGGUGA